rnacentral:lncRNA from 1 species
UGGUCGUGAUUUACACAGGAGCAAAAAGGGUUUCUUGAUCAAACCCUAAAUCACAAGAAAUUAAGCCAAAUCAAGGGAAAUGAAGCUAGGAAAUUGGGGCUUUAACUAAAAUCAUGAUCACCCAGCUUAGGGGAUCACAAGGUAUGUUGAAUUUUGAAGUUUGGUGAUAUUUUGAAAUUUUGAUGAACAUGCAUGAAUGAAAUUCUGGAAUGAAUGUUGAAUAUAUGAAUGAUAUUGAGUUGAAACAAUGUCUAAGAACAAAUCCUAGUUGAUAAUUUGACGAAUUAGUGAUGAAAACUAUGAAAUUGAUAAUCACCCAUAUAUGUGUUAAGUGGGUUUUUAGAACAAAGUGAUGAACACAAGAAUUUGUAUCCUAGGUUGUGAAAAAAAAAUUGAUGUUAUGAUGCAAGAUUGAUAUUGUUCAAGAGUGCUAGACACAAGGGUUUGAUUUAAUGAUAUGAAAUAUGGUUAAAAAGAUUAGCCAUGAACAAAAUAGAAGAGGUAUAGAAAUCAUGCUCGCUUGGUGUUUGUUAAAAUGCCUAAACAAAUGUUUAUAUGUUGAAAUUAUGAAAGAAACACGUAAUUGGCUAACUUGACUAAUUUCGUGGGAUAUGUAAUAGUACGGGUUUUGAACAUGAUGGUGUAUGAGAAUCACCAAACAGAACUUGAAUAUAUGUAAAUUUUAGUUCUAGUUCUUAAUUUGACAAAGAUGAAGUUGAGAAGAUGAUAAAAUUAGGAUUCAUAUGAUGACUUCUUGAAAUAGAUGAUGUUUUGACAUCUCUUAGCCUACAAUCAUUGUGCUAUAGGUUUCUAACCAUUACCAAGAGUUUAAUAAGGGUUAUAGCCAUGGAAAUGGGUUGCAUUUGAUGGUUUGGGUCGAAUUUGAAAGGACCCUAAACAUGAUUUUCGUAGCUUUUAUAUGUAUUUUGACUAAUCUUAAAAAAAUCAUAUAAAAUCAACCGUUUAUCCGAUUUGGGUGUUCUAUACCUUUUCGAAAAGCUUAUGAAGUAAAAUUUUUACUGUUUUCAAUAAUAAGAAAUAAAUGUGGUUGUUAAAUAGGCCAAAUAGGCGAAUUGAAACUGCUGUUCAGAACUUGCAAGAUGUUGAAAUAAAAAUAUAGUUGCUAAGCUGAUUUUAUAAAAGUCAUAUAAAAUCAUAGAAAAUUCAUUAGAAGGUGUACCUUAUAUGCUUGCGAAGGUAUUGGAGCGUUGUACGAUCCAUCUUUGAACAUGUUGAUCUAAUUCAGAUUUUAAACGGGUCAAAAUGGUCAAUUUCAGCAGCUGAAUAGAAAAUCGCUGCACAUAAAUAAUGUUCUUAUUAACCAAGAAAAAGGCAUAGGAUUGUAUAUACUUGCUUUAGGCAUGAAUUAUUGAUUGUUGGGAACAAAUAGCACUUUAUGUGACAUACUUAAAGUGUUUAAAAUCACUUACUAACUAAUUGUAUAAGUAACUUCACUAACGGGUCAAACGGUUAGUGAAUGAAAAGAAUUAUGGUAUGAAACUAGUUGUUGAAUGUAUGGCAUGCUUUGAUUGAUAAGUGUGUAAAAAAAAGGGGUUCCAUAGGGUGAUGGCCAUUAUAUAGAAUGACCAAUCUAACCAUCUUAUGGAUGUUAUGAUAUAGUUGACUCUAAACAAGCUAGGUGGGAGCUUGGAAAGUAACGGGUCAAACGGAUCAUGGAUGCGAAGAAUGUUUGUGCGGACGCGAAGUGAUAAAUACAUCAAUAGAUCAUGUUUGAAUUAUGGGUCCCGACACGAAACGAAAUGGGUCGGAACGAAUAAAAACGUUUAGAACCAUGAUUUGUAAUAAAUAUAAUUGUUUGGUCGUAUAGACCAAAUGGGUCAAAUGAUGGUGAUAACAUCAUAUGACCAUAUCGACUAAUAUUGGUUGUUAAGUCAUAUGUUUACAGGAAUGAAUAGAAUUUUGGAUAAUUGCGUCAUCAUAGAAUAUUGAAUUAAUAAUAGCAAGGCAUAAACGGGUCUAUACGUUGACUCGAACCAGGUACGCUUAUAUAUAGAUUUAUAGUUAAAAGUGUUUAACUUCCCUUCACGGGUCAAAAGGAGUAGAUAGGUAAAACGGGUUAAGAAUUCAUAAGAAACCCGUAAUUUGAACCUUGCACAUUAGUAAAUUGAUAUAACGUGAUAUGCAUGACAUUUUGAAAAGGUAAUAAGCAAGUUUGUUUGAUAAAUCACGAACGGGUCAAAAAGUGUCAUAAUUGAAUUUCAAGCCGAGAGCUUGAAAGUUAAAAUUUUGUGAAUUUAGAUGCUGGAUUUUAACUCCAUAUGAUGGAGGAUCAAAUUACAAUCACGUAGGAAGAAACGCUAGGUCAAACGGACAAGCGGACUAAAAGUUAUGAAGGUUUACGUUCUAGAAAACGACAAACUUGGAAAAUCCUGCAGAGGCCACCGUAAGUUACGGUAGAUACCGUAACUUACGGUAGCCUUAAGGUCUGUACGCCACACACCCACUGCUUUACGGUAGGAGAAUCAACAUUCAGGGGCUACCGUAAAUUACGGUAGCCACCGUAAUUUACGGUAGACCCUGUAAUAAAAAAAUGUAUUUUAUUCAGUUUUCCUUCCCGGACUCGUUUAGAUACGUUUUAAACCCCGUAUGACUAAAGCAUUUCAUGUUUAUGAAAUGUAGGUACAUUUUGGAUGCCGGAAGACGAUCAAGCUCAACGAAGAACCGAACACGAUAAAGAUACAUGCUUCCGCACAUUGCCUCGUCGUAAAUUUUAAACGACGAAUUCGAUUACGCUAUGUUGAAUAACUUAUGAUUUGUAAAGUUUUAACGAACCCGUAUUUUUCAAUGUAUUGAAAUCU